rnacentral:rRNA from 1 species
ACGUACACUCCUGCGGGAGGCAGCAGUGAGGAAUAUUGGACAAUGGGUGGAAGCCUGAUCCAGCCAUCCCGCGUGCAGGAAGACGGCCCUAUGGGUUGUAAACUGCUUUUAUCUGGGGAUAAACCUACUUACGUGUAAGUAGCUGAAGGUACCAGAAGAAUAAGCACCGGCUAACUCCGUGCCAGCAGCCGCGGUAAUACGGAGGGUGCAAGCGUUAUCCGGAUUUAUUGGGUUUAAAGGGUCCGUAGGCGGACUGAUAAGUCAGUGGUGAAAUCCGACAGCUUAACUGUCGAACUGCCAUUGAUACUGUUAGUCUUGAGUAAGGUUGAAGUGGCUGGAAUAAGUAGUGUAGCGGUGAAAUGCAUAGAUAUUACUUAGAACACCAAUUGCGAAGGCAGGUCACUAAGUCUUAACUGACGCUGAUGGACGAAAGCGUGGGGAGCGAACAGGAUUAGAAACCCCGGUAGUCCCAUG